UACGUAGGGUGCAAGCGUUACUCGGAAUUACUGGGCGUAAAGCGUGCGCAGGCGGUGAUGUAAGACAGCUGUGAAAUCCCCGGGCUCAACCUGGGAACUGCAUUUGUGACUGCAUCGCUGGAGUGCGGCAGAGGGGGAUGGAAUUCCGCGUGUAGCAGUGAAAUGCGUAGAUAUGCGGAGGAACACCGAUGGCGAAGGCAAUCCCCUGGGCCUGCACUGACGCUCAUGCACGAAAGCGUGGGGAGCAAACAGG
rnacentral:rRNA from 1 species